GCCUAGCCUUAACAUAACAAUUAAAUAACUCAUUGCCCGCCAAAUAACUACGAGUUACAACUUAAAAUCUAAAAGACUUGACGGUACCCCACAACAACCUAGAGGAGCCUGUCUAAUAAAUGAUACUCCACGAUUAACCCUACCCACCAUAGCCAUAUUUAGUCUAUAUACCGCCGUCGCCAGCCCACCUCCUGAGAGAAUAAAAGUGAGCCAAACAGCUUAUCACUAACACGACAGGUCAAGGUGUAACUAAUGGGUAGGAACAAGAUGGGCUACAUUUUCUACUCAGAACAUACGAAUUAAACUUUGAAAAAACAAUUGAAGGCGGAUUUAGCAGUAUAUUAAAGACAAAAACACUUAAUUGAAUCCAGUGCAAUGGGGUGCGCACACACCGCCCGUCAUCCCUGUAUACCAAAAUUUCACAUUUAUAAUAACUACACACAUACCAACCAGGGCAAGUCGUAACAUGGUAAGCGUACUGGAAAGUGCGCUUAGAAAC
rnacentral:rRNA from 1 species